rnacentral:rRNA from 1 species
CCUACGGGUGGCAGCAGUGGGGAAUAUUCGGCAAUGGGCGCAAGCCUGACCCAGCAACGCCGCGUGAAGGAAGAAGGCUUUCGGGUUGUAAACUUCUUUUGUCAGGGACGAAGCAAGUGACGGUACCUGACGACUAAGCCACGGCUAACUACGUCCCAGCAGCCGCGGUAAUUCGUUGGUGGCAAGCGUUAUCCGGCUUUACUGGGUGUAAAGGGCGUGUAGGCGGGGAAGUAAGUCAGAUGUGAAAACCAUGGGAUCAAACGAUGGCAUGCAUUUGAAACUGUUUUUCUUGAGUGCUGGAGAGGCAAGUGGAAUUCCGUGUGUAGCGGUGAAAUGCGUAGAUAUACGGAGGAACACCAGUGGCGAAGGCGGAUUGCUGGACAGUAACUGACGCUGAGGCGCGAAAGCGUGGGGAGCAAACAGGAUUAGAUACCCGAGUAGUC